rnacentral:lncRNA from 1 species
GUUCACAAGAGUUUCUUGUUAAAGAUCUAGGCCGAAUAGAUAAAACCCAAAAUUUGCCUCCGUGCUUUUGGCAAAACUUCUAUUUUAGCAUGUGGUUACAUACGAGUUAAUUUUAGUUUUAAAAUUGAUAAUAGUUUAACCAAAAUCAAGUUUCGACUAUGAAAAUUUUGGUAUUACAAUAUCUUUUAUUAUGGUGUAGAAGGAAGG